rnacentral:rRNA from 1 species
AACCGGCGCACGGGUGAGUAACACGUGGAUAACCUGCCUUUGAGACUGGGAUAACCCGUCGAAAGACGGACUAAUACCAGAUAAGACCACGGGGAGUUCGCUUCCUGGGGUAAAAGGUGGCCUCUGCUCCUGCAAGCUAUCACUCAUUGAGGGGUCCGCGCCCUAUCAGCUAGUUGGUGAGGUAACGGCUCACCAAGGCUAAGACGGGUAGCUGGUCUGAGAGGAUGGUCAGCCACACUGGGACUGAGACACGGCUCAGAGUCCUACGGGAUGCAGCAGUCAGGAAUAUUGCGCAAUGGAGGAAACUCUGACGCAGCGACGCCGCGUGGGUGAUGAAGGCCUUCGGGUCGUAAAGCCCUGUCGGAGGGGAAGAAAAGUUUGCUGGCUAAUAUCCAGCAGACCCUUGACGGUACCCUCAAAGGAAGCACCGGCUAACUCCGUGCCAGCAGCCGCGGUAAGACGGAGGGUGCUAGCGUUGUUCGGAUUGACUGGGCGUAAAGGGCGUGUAGGCGGUUGGCCCAGUCCGGUGUGAAAGCCCGGGGCUUAGCCUCGGAAGUGCAUCGGAAACUAGCCGACUGGAGCGCGAUAGAGGAGGGUGGAAUUCCUGGUGUAGCGGUGAAAUGCGUAGAUAUCAGGAGGAACACCGGCGGCGAAGGCGGCCCUCUGGAUCGUUGC